GCUACUGAAUUUCAUGUGGUCAGAAUGCACCUCUCAUACAGGUGCGGAGUGGGUUCGAUCCCCGCCAGUGGCU